CAAACACAUUGUAAUUACUUUAUUACUAUUUACUACUUAAUACCAAUCUAAUAAUUUAAUCACCAUUAUCUACUCCCAGACCUCUUGGAUACACAGGACUAUAAGAAUUGCGGUCUUCUUUCACAAUUUUGAUAUCGCCACAUAUAAAAAUCUACAAAGCAUUCUUACAUCUAACACCACUACAAAUAUUUAAAAUUGAAAUUACACAUCGUCUGCAAACUAAAACACAUUGGAUAAGAAACUACAACAUCUACAGUUUUAGAAGAAAUUAAAAUAUGGCCUAUAUGCAAAAAUAUACUGACCAUACCUCAAGAAAAAAGAAUUUUACUAAUAUCCGUAACACAUCAAUGAAGAUAUAAACUACUUUUACCAUAACAUAUCGGAACAUAUCGGAAAAACAGUGAACUCCAAUGCUUCGAUGUAAAGAUACAUCCCACAUACAUAUGGAGAAAUCGCAGAAACAAGAAUUCAUAGUACAAGAACAGUUGCAACAAAACCUUAGUGGAAAUAUCGCUGAAUAUACCGUCAAUGAAGAAGAACAAAACUAAAGGGAUUGAUACCACCAGUUACAAAAACCAAUAGGGAACAUCUCCAAAGACCACCAUUGU